AUUGAGCGCUGGCGGCAGGCUUAACACAUGCAAGUCGAGCGGGGUGAUGGUGCUUGCACUAUCACUUAGCGGCGGACGGGUGAGUAAUGCUUAGGAAUCUGCCUAUUAGUGGGGGACAACAUCUCGAAAGGGAUGCUAAUACCGCAUACGUCCUACGGGAGAAAGCAGGGGAUCACUUGUGACCUUGCGCUAAUAGAUGAGCCUAAGUCGGAUUAGCUAGUUGGUGGGGUAAAGGCCUACCAAGGCGACGAUCUGUAGCGGGUCUGAGAGGAUGAUCCGCCACACUGGGACUGAGACACGGCCCAGACUCCUACGGGAGGCAGCAGUGGGGAAUAUUGGACAAUGGGGGGAACCCUGAUCUAGCCAUGCCGCGUGUGUGGAGAAGGCCUUAUGGUUGUAAAGCACUUUAAGCGAGGAGGAGGCUCUUUUGGUUAAUACCCAAGAUGAGUGGACGUUACUCGCAGAAUAAGCACCGGCUAACUCUGUGCCAGCAGCCGCAGUAA
rnacentral:rRNA from 1 species